AAAUUGAAGAGUUUGAUCAUGGCUCAGAUUGAACGCUGGCGGCAGGCCUAACACAUGCAAGUCGAACGGUAACAGGAAGCAGCUUGCUGCUUUGCUGACGAGUGGCGGACGGGUGAGUAAUGUCUGGGAAACUGCCUGAUGGAGGGGGAUAACUACUGGAAACGGUGGCUAAUACCGCAUAACGUCGCAAGACCAAAGAGGGGGACCUUCGGGCCUCUUGCCAUCAGAUGUGCCCAGAUGGGAUUAGCUUGUUGGUGAGGUAACGGCUCACCAAGGCGACGAUCCCUAGCUGGUCUGAGAGGAUGACCAGCCACACUGGAACUGAGACACGGUCCAGACUCCUACGGGAGGCAGCAGUGGGGAAUAUUGCACAAUGGGCGCAAGCCUGAUGCAGCCAUGCCGCGUGUAUGAAGAAGGCCUUCGGGUUGUAAAGUACUUUCAGCGGGGAGGAAGGUGUUGUGGUUAAUAACCGCAGCAAUUGACGUUACCCGCAGAAGAAGCACCGGCUAACUCCGUGCCAGCAGCCGCGGUAAUACGGAGGGUGCAAGCGUUAAUCGGAAUUACUGGGCGUAAAGCGCACGCAGGCGGUCUGUCAAGUCGGAUGUGAAAUCCCCGGGCUCAACCUGGGAACUGCAUUCGAAACUGGCAGGCUUGAGUCUUGUAGAGGGGGGUAGAAUUCCAGGUGUAGCGGUGAAAUGCGUAGAGAUCUGGAGGAAUACCGGUGGCGAAGGCGGCCCCCUGGACAAAGACUGACGCUCAGGUGCGAAAGCGUGGGGAGCAAACAGGAUUAGAUACCCUGGUAGUCCACGCCGUAAACGAUGUCUACUUGGAGGUUGUGCCCUUGAGGCGUGGCUUCCGGAGCUAACGCGUUAAGUAGACCGCCUGGGGAGUACGGCCGCAAGGUUAAAACUCAAAUGAAUUGACGGGGGCCCGCACAAGCGGUGGAGCAUGUGGUUUAAUUCGAUGCAACGCGAAGAACCUUACCUGGUCUUGACAUCCACAGAACAUUCCAGAGAUGGAUUGGUGCCUUCGGGAACUGUGAGACAGGUGCUGCAUGGCUGUCGUCAGCUCGUGUUGUGAAAUGUUGGGUUAAGUCCCGCAACGAGCGCAACCCUUAUCCUUUGUUGCCAGCGGUCCGGCCGGGAACUCAAAGGAGACUGCCAGUGAUAAACUGGAGGAAGGUGGGGAUGACGUCAAGUCAUCAUGGCCCUUACGACCAGGGCUACACACGUGCUACAAUGGCGCAUACAAAGAGAAGCGACCUCGCGAGAGCAAGCGGACCUCAUAAAGUGCGUCGUAGUCCGGAUUGGAGUCUGCAACUCGACUCCAUGAAGUCGGAAUCGCUAGUAAUCGUGGAUCAGAAUGCCACGGUGAAUACGUUCCCGGGCCUUGUACACACCGCCCGUCACACCAUGGGAGUGGGUUGCAAAAGAAGUAGGUAGCUUAACCUUCGGGAGGGCGCUUACCACUUUGUGAUUCAUGACUGGGGUGAAGUCGUAACAAGGUAACCGUAGGGGAACCUGCGGUUGGAUCACCUCCUUACCUUAAAGAA
rnacentral:rRNA from 4 species